AGAGUUUGAUCAUGGCUCAGAUUGAACGCUGGCGGCAUGCUUUACACAUGCAAGUCGAACGGCAGCACGGGUGCUUGCAUCUGGUGGCGAGUGGCGAACGGGUGAGUAACAUAUCGGAACGUGUCCGGAAAUGGGGGAUAGCUCGGCGAAAGCCGGAUUAAUACCGCAUAUGCCCUGAGGGGGAAAGUGGGGGAUCAGUGAUGACCUCACGUUUUCGGAGCGGCCGAUAUCAGAUUAGCUAGUUGGUGGGGUAAAGGCCUACCAAGGCAUCGAUCUGUAGCUGGUCUGAGAGGACGACCAGCCACACUGGGACUGAGACACGGCCCAGACUCCUACGGGAGGCAGCAGUGGGGAAUUUUGGACAAUGGGGGCAACCCUGAUCCAGCCAUGCCGCGUGAGUGAAGAAGGCCUUCGGGUUGUAAAGCUCUUUCGGACAGAAAGAAAUCGUGCGGGUGAAUAGCCUGUAUGGAUGACGGUACUGUAAGAAGAAGCACCGGCUAACUACGUGCCAGCAGCCGCGGUAAUACGUAGGGUGCGAGCGUUAAUCGGAAUUACUGGGCGUAAAGCGUGCGCAGGCGGUUUUGUAAGACAGGUGUGAAAUCCCCGGGCUUAACCUGGGAACUGCACUUGUGACUGCGAGACUGGAGUACGGCAGAGGGGGGUAGAAUUCCACGUGUAGCAGUGAAAUGCGUAGAGAUGUGGAGGAAUACCGAUGGCGAAGGCAGCCCCCUGGGUCGAUACUGACGCUCAUGCACGAAAGCGUGGGGAGCAAACAGGAUUAGAUACCCUAGUAGUCC
rnacentral:rRNA from 1 species